rnacentral:rRNA from 1 species
CACGUAGGGGGCAAGCGUUGUCCGGAUUUAUUGGGCGUAAAGAGCUCGUAGGCGGCUCAGUAAGUCAGGUGUGAAACCUCCAGGCUCAACCUGGAGACGCCACCUGAUACUGCGGUGACUGGAGUCCGGUAGGGGAGCGUGGAAUUCCUGGUGUAGCGGUGAAAUGCGCAGAUAUCAGGAGGAACACCAGCGGCGAAGGCGGCGCUCUGGGCCGGUACUGACACUGAGGAGCGAAAGCGUGGGUAGCAAACAGG